AGUCUGGUGUCUGAUGAAGACUACUUAAAUCCUCCAGUAAUUGAUAGAAUGGAUGUGCAGCUAACAAAGCUUACACUUUAUAGGACAGUGAUCCAGCCAGGCAUCUACCAUCCUGAUAUUCAGCUGUUGCACCCAAUUAACUUGGAAUUUCUUGUAAAUCGGAAUCUAGCUGCAUCUUGGUACCACAAGGUGCCUGUUGUGGAAAUUAAAGGACAUCUUGAUUCAAUGAAUGUUAGUCUAAAUCAAGAAGAUCUUAAUCUUUUAUUUAGGAUACUAACAGAAAAUCUCUGUGAGGGUACUGAAGACUUGGAUAAAGUGAAACCAAGAGUACAAGAGACAGGUGAAAUUAAAGAGCCCCUUGAAAUCUCUAUAUCACAAGAUGUACAUGAUUCAAAAAAUACUUUAACAACUGGAGUGGAAGAAAUUAGGUUGUGGUUACUUUGAUGAAAAAAUCAGAAAAGAAAGGAAGGCCUUUACAUGAGCUAAAUGUCCUGCAACUUGGAAUGGAAGCUAAAGUUAAAACCUAUGACAUGACUGCUAAAGCUUAUC
rnacentral:lncRNA from 1 species